UACAGGGGGGGCAAGCGUUGUUCGGAAUUACUGGGCGUAAAGGGCUCGUAGGCGGCCAACUAAGUCCGACGUGAAAUCCCAAAGCUUAACUUUGGAACUGCGUCGGAUACUGGAUGGCUUGAAUUCGGGAGAGGGAUGCAGAAUUCCAGGUGUAGCGGUGAAAUGCGUAGAUAUCUGGAGGAAUACCAGUGGCGAAGGCGGCUCACUGGCCCGAUACUGACGCUGAGGCACGAAAGCGUGGGGAGCAAACAGG
rnacentral:rRNA from 1 species